rnacentral:tRNA from 1 species
GCCGAAGUGGUGGAAUUGGUAGACACGCAGGCUUGAGGGGUCUGUGGGGGAAACCUCGUGCCGGUUCGAGUCCGGCCUUCGGCA